rnacentral:rRNA from 1 species
UACGGAGGGUGCUAGCGUUGUUCGGAAUUACUGGGCGUAAAGGGCGUGUAGGCGGUUUGUCAAGUCAGAUGUGAAAGCCCUUGGCUUAACCAAGGAACUGCAUUUGAAACUGGCAGGCUAGAGUACGGGAGAGGGAGGUGGAAUUCCUGGUGUAGCGGUGAAAUGCGUAGAUAUCAGGAGGAACACCGGUGGCGAAGGCGGCCUCCUGGACCGAUACUGACGCUGAGACGCGAAAGCGUGGGUAGCAAACAGG